rnacentral:rRNA from 1 species
UACGAAGGGGGCUAGCGUUGCUCGGAAUCACUGGGCGUAAAGCGCACGUAGGCGGGUUCUUAAGUCAGGGGUGAAAUCCUGGAGCUCAACUCCAGAACUGCCUUUGAUACUGGGAAUCUCGAGUCCGGGAGAGGUGAGUGGAACUGCGAGUGUAGAGGUGAAAUUCGUAGAUAUUCGCAAGAACACCAGUGGCGAAGGCGGCUCACUGGCCCCGAUACUGACGCUGAGGCACGAAAGCGUGGGGAGCAAACAGG